UACGUAGGCAGCAAGCGUUGUUCGGAAUUACUGGGCGUAAAGCGUGCGCAGGCGGUUUUGUAAGUCUGUCGUGAAAUCCCCGGGCUUAACCUGGGAAUGGCGAUGGAGACUGCAAGGCUAGAGUUUGGCAGAGGGGGGUAGAAUUCCACGUGUAGCAGUGAAAUGCGUAGAGAUGUGGAGGAACACCGAUGGCGAAGGCAGCCCCCUGGGUCAAAACUGACGCUCAUGCACGAAAGCGUGGGGAGCAAACAGG
rnacentral:rRNA from 1 species